GACGAACGCUGGCGGCGUGCUUAACACAUGCAAGUCGAACGGAAAGGCCCUGCUUUUGUGGGGUGCUCGAUUGGCGAACGGGUGAGUAACACGUGAGUAACCUGCCCUUGACAUUGGGAUAACUUCAGGAAACUGGGACGAAUACCGGAUAGGAGCUCCUGCUGCAUGGUGGGGGUUGGAAAGUUUCGGCGGUUGGGGAUGGACUCGCGGCUUAUCCGCUUGUUGGUGGGGUAGUGGCUUACCAAGCCUUCGAAGGGUAGCCGGCCUGAGAGGGUGACCGGCGACAUUGGGACUGAGAUACGGCCCAGACUCCUACGGGAGGCAGCAGUGGGGAAUAUUGCACAAUGGGCGGAAGCCUGAUGCAGAAACGCCGCGUGCGGGAUGACGGCCUUCGGGUUGUAAACCGCUUUCGCCUGUGACGAAGCGUGAGUGACGGUAAUGAGUAAAGAAGCACCGGCUAACUACGUG
rnacentral:rRNA from 1 species